UACGUAGGGGGCAAGCGUUGUCCGGAAUCAUUGGGCGUAAAGCGCGCGUAGGCGGCCCGGUAAGUCCGCUCUGAAAGUCCAGGGCUUAACCCUGGAAAGCGGGUGGAUACUGCCGGGCUUGAAUCCGGAAGAGGCGAGUGGAAUUCCUGGUGUAGCGGUGGAAUGCGCAGAUAUCGGGAGGAACACCAAUAGCGAAGGCAGCUCGCUGGGACGGUAUUGACGCUAAGGCGCGAAAGCGUGGGGAGCAAACAGG
rnacentral:rRNA from 1 species